CGCCUCUUGACAAAACAUAAGAGGUCCAGCCUGCCCAGUGACAAAGUUUAACGGCCGCGGUACCCUAACCGUGCGAAGGUAGCAUAAUCACUUGUUCUUUAAAUGGGGACUCGUAUCAACGGCACUACGAGGGCUAUACUGUCUCCUUUUUCUAAUCAGUGAAACUGAUCUCCCCGUGAAGAAGCGGGGAUUAAAAUAUAAGACGAGAAGACCCCAUGGAGCUUUAAACUCACCAUGCACCUCUGUGCCCCCAUACCCUUAAACACAACGGACCUGCAUGCUAGUUUUAGGUUGGGGUGACCACGGAGUACAACUUAACCUCCACAGCAAAUGGGCUAAUACCCUUAUCCACGAGACACAACUCUAAGAAUUAUUAUACUAAUGCUUAUGACCCGAUAUUCGAUCAAUGAACCAAGUUACCCUGGGGAUAACAGCGCAAUCUACUUCAAGAGCCCAUAUCGACAAGUAGGUUUACGACCUCGAUGUUGGAUCAGGGUAUCCCGGUGGUGCAGCCGCUACCAAUGGUUUGUUUGUUCAACGAUUAAAACCCUACGUG
rnacentral:rRNA from 1 species